rnacentral:rRNA from 1 species
AUCGAACGCUGGCGGCAGGCCUAACACAUGCAAGUCGAACGAGUGGCGGACGGGUGAGUAAUUUCUGGGAAACUGCCUGAUGGAGGGGGAUAACUACUGGAAACGGUAGCUAAUACCGCAUACCAUCGGAUGUGCCCAGAUGGGAUUAGCUAGUAGGGGGGGUAAAGGCUCACCUAGGCGACGCUCCCGAGCUGGUCUGAGAGGAUGACCGGCCACACUGGAACUGAGACACGGUCCAGACUCCUACGGGAGGCAGCAGUAGGGAAUCUUGCACAAUGGGCGCAAGCCUGAUGCAGCAAUGCCGCGUGUAUGAAGAAGGCCUUCGGGUUGUAAAGUACUGUUAGCGGGGAGGCGGUACCCGCAGAGGAAGCACCGGCUAACUCCGGGCCAGCAGCCGCGGUAAUUC